GAUGAAGAACGCAGCGAAAUGCGAUAAGUAAUGUGAAUUGCAGAAUUCAGUGAAUCAUCGAAUCUUUGAACGCACAUUGCGCCCGCCAGUAUUCUGGCGGGCAUGCCUGUUCGAGCGUCAUUUCAACCAUCAAGCCCCCGGCUUGUGUUGGGGACCUGCGGCUGCCGCAGGCCCUGAAAACCAGUGGCGGGCUCGCUAGUCACUCCGAGCGUAGUAAUACAUCUCGCUCAGGGCGUGCUGCGGGUUCCGGCCGUUAAAAGCCUUAUUUACCCAAAGUUGACCUCGGAUCAGGUAGGAAGACCCGCUGAACUUAAGCAUAUCAAUAAGCGGAGGA
rnacentral:misc_RNA from 1 species